rnacentral:rRNA from 1 species
GCUGGCGGCGUGCUUAACACAUGCAAGUCGAACGAGGUCCAUGGAGCUUGCUCCGGCAAGACUUAGUGGCGAACGGGUGCGUAACACGUGAGAAACCUGCCCCGGACUUGGGAAUAACAGUCGGAAACGAUUGCUAAUACCGAAUACCUUCACACCGUCGCAUGGCGGAGUGAAGAAAGCUUUUGCGGUCUGGGAGGGUCUCGCGGCCUAUCAGCUUGUUGGUGAGGUAACGGCUCACCAAGGCAUCGACGGGUAGCUGGUCUGAGAGGAUGAUCAGCCACACUGGGACUGAGACACGGCCCAGACUCCUACGGGAGGCAGCAGUGGGGAAUAUUGCACAAUGGGCGCAGGCCUGAUGCAGCAACGCCGCGUGCGGGAAGAAGGCCCUAGGGUUGUAAACCGCUUUCAGCAGGGAAGAAACUGACGGUACCUGCAGAAGAAGGUGCGGCCAACUACGUGCCAGCAGCCGCGGUGACACGUAGGCACCAAGCGUUGUCCGGAUUUAUUGGGCGUAAAGAGCUCGUAGGCGGUUCGGUAAGUCGGGUGUGAAAACUCUGGGCUCAACCCAGAGAGGCCACCCGAUACUGCUGUGACUUGAGUACGGUAGGG